rnacentral:rRNA from 1 species
CCUACGGGUGGCAGCAGUGAGGAAUAUUGGUCAAUGGGCGCGAGCCUGAACCAGCCAAGUCGCGUGAGGGAAGACGGUCCUAUGGAUUGUAAACCUCUUUUGUCGGGGAGCAAAAGACGCCACGCGUGGCGUUCCGAGAGUACCCGAAGAAAAAGCAUCGGCUAACUCCGUGCCAGCAGCCGCGGUAAUACGGAGGAUGCGAGCGUUAUCCGGAUUUAUUGGGUUUAAAGGGUGGGAAGGCGGUGUAUCAAGUCAGCGGUAAAAUUGGGGGGCUAAACCUCUUAGUGCCGUUGAAACUGGAUGUCUUGAGUGAGUGAGAGGUAGGCGGAAUGCGUGGUGUAGCGGUGAAAUGCAUAGAUAUCACGCAGAACUCCGAUUGCGAAGGCAGCAUAC